rnacentral:rRNA from 2 species
GGACGAAGUCUGAUGGAGCACGCCGCGUGAGUGAAGAAGGUUUUCGGAUCGUAAAACUCUGUUGUUGGAGAAGAAUGUAUCUGAUAGUAACUGAUCAGGUAGUGACGGUAUCCAACCAGAAAGCCACGGCUAACUACGUGCCAGCAGCCGCGGUAAUACGUAGGUGGCAAGCGUUGUCCGGAUUUAUUGGGCGUAAAGCGAGCGCAGGCGGUUUCUUAAGUCUGAUGUGAAAGCCUUCGGCUCAACCGAAGAAGUGCAUCGGAAACUGGGAAACUUGAGUGCAGAAGAGGACAGUGGAACUCCAUGUGUAGCGGUGAAAUGCGUAGAUAUAUGGAAGAACACCAGUGGCGAAGGCGGCUGUCUGGUCUGUAACUGACGCUGAGGCUCGAAAGCAUGGGUAGCAAACAGGAUUAGAUACCCUGGUAGUCCAUGCCGUAAACGAUGAGUGCUAGGUGUUGGAGGGUUUCCGCCCUUCAGUGCCGCAGCUAACGCAUUAAGCACUCCGCCUGGGGAGUACGACCGCAAGGUUGAA